UUGACUAUACUUUCAGGGAUCAUUUCUAUAGUUUGUUACAUAGAUUAGGGGAACAAUAUCUGAGUAUAACAUACUGGUUUGUCAAGUAGGUUCUAAGCCAUUAGGUGGAACCAACUUGAAGACAGA
rnacentral:snoRNA from 1 species